GUGUCUGUAGUGUAAUGGCUAGCACAAGAGAUUGUGAAUCUCUUAGAUCAAGGUUCGAUUCCUGAUAGACACCC
rnacentral:tRNA from 1 species